rnacentral:rRNA from 1 species
UACGUAGGGGGCAAGCGUUGUCCGGAAUCAUUGGGCGUAAAGCGCACGUAGGCGGCCCGGUAAGUCCGUUGUGAAAGUCAGAGGCUCAACCUCUGGAGGCCAAUGGAUACUGCCGGGCUAGAGUCCGGAAGAGGCGAGUGGAAUUCCUGGUGUAGCGGUGGAAUGCGCAGAUAUCAGGAGGAACACCAAUGGCGAAGGCAGCUCGCUGGGACGGUACUGACGCUGAGGUGCGAAAGCGUGGGGAGCGAACGGG